rnacentral:rRNA from 1 species
GACGAACGCUGGCGGCGUGCUUAACACAUGCAAGUCGAACGGAAAGGCCCUGCUUUUGUUGGGUGCUCGAGUGGCGAACGGGUGAGUAACACGUGAGUAACCUGCCCUUGACUGUGGGAUAACUUCAGGAGACUGGGGCUAAUACCGGAUAUGAGCUCCUGCUGCAUGGUGGGCGUUGGAAAGUUUCGGCGGUUGUGGAUGGACUCGAGGCUUAUCAGCUUGUUGGUGGGGUAGGUGCUUUCCAAGGCUUUGACGGCUAGCCGGCCUGAGAGGGUGACCGGCGACAUUGGGACUGCGGUACGGCCCAGAAUGGUACGGUAGGCAGAAGUGGGAAAUAUUGCACAACGGGGGGAAGCGUGAUGCAGAAACGUUGCGUGCGGGAUGACGUCCUUCGGGUUAUAAACCGCUUUCGAAUGUGACGAAGCGUGCGUGACGGUAACGGGUAAAGAAGCACCGGCUAACUACGUG